AGUUGUUGCUGGCCUCUAGGGGCAUGUGCACGCUUCACUAGUCUUUCAACCACCUGUGAACUUUUGAUAGAUCUGUGAAGUCGUCUUUCAAGUCGUCAGACUUGGUUUGCUGGGAUUUAAACGUCUCGGUGUGACAACGCAGUCUAUUUACUUAACACACCCCAAAUGUAUGUCUACGAAUGUCAUUUAAUGGGCCUUGUGCCUAUAAACCAUAAUACAACUUUCAACAACGGAUCUCUUGGCUCUCGCAUCGAUGAAGAACGCAGCGAAAUGCGAUAAGUAAUGUGAAUUGCAGAAUUCAGUGAAUCAUCGAAUCUUUGAACGCACCUUGCGCCCCUUGGUAUUCCGAGGGGCAUGCCUGUUUGAGUGUCAUUAAAUUCUCAAACUCACUUUGGUUUUUUCCAAUUGUGAUGUUUGGAUUGUUGGGGGCUGCUGGCCUUGACAGGUCGGCUCCUCUUAAAUGCAUUAGCAGGACUUCUCAUUGCCUCUGCGCAUGAUGUGAUAAUUAUCACUCAUCAAUAGCACGCAUGAAUAGAGUCCAGCUCUCUAAUCGUCCGCAAGGACAAUUUGACAAUUUGACCUCAAAUCAGGUAGGACUACCCGCUGAACUUAAGCAU
rnacentral:rRNA from 1 species